AAUUUAAUACUCACCUCGUCAUGGAUGUGGCUUAAAGACGGUGUGGACUGGCUUUAUAUAUGAAACAAAUUGUAAAUAAUCUACAAGUAACUUAAAGUCCUGAGCAAAAGCAGCUACUAAAGCACCACCUGGCUAUGCAACUCAAGAACUAUGUGUUUCCUGGUUAAAGCUUUGCCUAAACCUACUGAGUUUCAAGACCAUGAUUAUUUAUUUUGAUCUUCUUUGGAAAAGGCCACUAAAUAUCAUCAAAUACCUUGGGAAGACAAAAUUUGUGAAGUAAAAUAAAACCUGGAUAAAAUGGACUAAUGGAGUCAACCUGAAAAUGACAAGUAUUCUGCUGUUUAUUAUUAGAAACAUCCUCUGCCUUCUCUGCCUCAUUCUGCUGUGCUGGAGGUGACAACUACAGAAUCCAUCUCCUGGAGCGUCUCACACUUUGGCCUCUUUUUGGAUUUGACGGAUGGAAGAUGUUCAUAGGAAAUCAGAGGACAGUGGGAAACCGAACCCAGGGAUUUUGUAAUAUUUUUCCCUUAAUUAUCUCAACACUAUUUUGCCAGUUGCUGCAUUCUUCUACAUUUAUAACUCCUGUUUGGAAGUGCCUACCUCAACCAUCACCUUUCAACUGGGUUCUUAUAAAAUGAUCCUUCCUUUGACACUUCUGACCUAGGAUUCUAAAAGUUCCCUGCUACUGCACCUAGGUACUUGUUGAUAGCUUAUUCCUGAACAUGCCUCCUUAAAUAUUUGCUAUAUUAAAUGAUCUUUGCUACCUUGUUAAAUUUGCAACAUUAAAUUCUUUUGAGUAUAUAUUGUCUUAUGCUAAUAUCUUGCCUAAUACAUAGACUCUGCCAACAUUUAUCACUGAGCAGUUCAUGAAUGGAGGUCAAUCCAAAAGAUAUCUAUUACAUUGUAAUUUUUGAUUGAAAGAGUUAGCAUUGGAAAAACUUU
rnacentral:lncRNA from 10 species